UCAGCUCGUAUUUGUAUGGAAUGGGAUCGUUUGCGUACGUUUGCCGCUAGGGGCGCUGUUCCAACUGCAUACAAAAUUGGGUUA
rnacentral:pre_miRNA from 1 species